rnacentral:rRNA from 1 species
UACGGAGGGUGCAAGCGUUGUCCGGAUUUAUUGGGUUUAAAGGGUGCGUAGGCGGCCCGUUAAGUCAGCGGUGAAAUCCCAGGGCUCAACCCUGGAACUGCCGUUGAUACUGGCGGGCUUGAGUUCGGUCGAGGCGGGCGGAACUGGUGGUGUAGCGGUGAAAUGCAUAGAUACCACCAAGAACCCCGAUUGCGAAGGCAGCUCGCUGGGCCGAAACUGACGCUGAGGCACGAAAGCGUGGGGAGCGAACAGG